AUUUCGUCUCGCAUUGGGAUUCGGAGGGACUCUAGCCGUAAAACCCCCAAUUUUACUAAGGUGACCUCGAUCAGUAGAUGCCGU
rnacentral:rRNA from 1 species